CCCUUAGAUGUUCUGGGCCGCACGCGCGCUACACUGAUGCAUUCAACGAGCACCCGCUGGGCCGAGAGGUCCGGCUAAUCUUUGAACGUGCAUCGUGCUGGGGAUAGAUGAUUGCAAUUAUUCAUCUUCAACGAGGAAUUCCUAGUAAACGCAAGUCAUCAGCUUGCAUUGAUUACGUCCCUGCCCUUUGUACACACCGCCCGUCGCACCUACCGAUUGAAUGGUCCGGUGAAAUCUUCGGAUCUGAGAGAUGUCUGAUUAAUUUCGGACGCCUUUUGGAAAAGUUGUUUAAACCUUACCAUUUAGAGGAAGGUGAAGUCGUAACA
rnacentral:rRNA from 1 species